AUUGAACGCUGGCGGCAUGCCUUACACAUGCUAGUCGAACGGCAGCACGGGUGCUUGCACCUGGUGGCGAGUGGCGAACGGGUGAGUAAUACAUCGGAACGUACCUUAUCGUGGGGGAUAACGCAGCGAAAGCUGUGCUAAUACCGCAUACGCCCUGAGGGGGAAAGCGGGGGAUCGAAAGACCUCGCGCGAUUAGAGCGGCCGAUGCCUGAUUAGCUUGUUGGUGGGGUAAAAGCCCACCAAGGCGACGAUCAGUAGCUGGUCUGAGAGGACGAUCAGCCACACUGGGACUGAGACACGGCCCAGACUCCUACGGGAGGCAGCAGUGGGGAAUUUUGGACAAUGGGGGCAACCCUGAUCCAGCAAUGCCGCGUGAGUGAAGAAGGCCUUCGGGUUGUAAAGCGCUUUUGGCAGGGAGCAAAUCCUUGUGGCUAAUACCCACCGGGGAUGAGGGUACCUGAAGAAUAAGCCCCGGCUAACUACGUGCCAGCCGCCGCCGUAA
rnacentral:rRNA from 1 species